rnacentral:rRNA from 1 species
AGAGUUUGAUCAUGGCUCAGAUUGAACGCUGGCGGCAGGCCUAACACAUGCAAGUCGAACGGUAACACAGAGAGCUUGCUCUUGGGUGACGAGUGGCGGACGGGUGAGUAAUGCCUGGGAAAUUGCCCAGUCGAGGGGGAUAACAGUUGGAAACGACUGCUAAUACCGCACACGCCCUACGGGGGAAAGCAGGGGACCUUCGGGCCUCACACCAUCGGAUGUGCCCAGAUGGGAUUAGCUAGUAGGUGGGGUAAUGGCUCACCUAGGCGACGAUCCCUAGCUGGUCUGAGAGGAUGACCAGCCACACUGGAACUGAGACACGGCCCAGACUCCUACGGGAGGCAGCAGUGGGGAAUAUUGCACAAUGGGCGCAAGCCUGAUGCAGCCAUGCCGCGUGUAUGAAGAAGGCCUUAGGGUUGUAAAGUACUUUCAGUUGGGAGGAAGGCGUUGAUGCUAAUAUCAUCAACGAUUGACGUUACCAACAGAAGAAGCACCGGCUAACUCCGUGCCAGCCGCCGCGGUAAUUC